rnacentral:rRNA from 1 species
GGCUUAGAUACCCUGGUAGUCCACCCCGUAAACGUUGGGAACUAGUUGUGGGGACCAUUCCACGGUUUCCGUGACGCAGCUAACGCAUUAAGUUCCCCGCCUGGGGAGUACGGCCGCAAGGCUAAAACUCAAAGGAAUUGACGGGGACCCGCACAAGCGGCGGAGCAUGCGGAUUAAUUCGAUGCAACGCGAAGAACCUUACCAAGGCUUGACAUAUACGAGAACGGGCCAGAAAUGGUCAACUCUUUGGACACUCGUAAACAGGUGGUGCAUGGUUGUCGUCAGCUCGUGUCGUGAGAUGUUGGGUUAAGUCCCGCAACGAGCGCAACCCUCGUUCUAUGUUGCCAGCACGUAAUGGUGGGAACUCAUGGGAUACUGCCGGGGUCAACUCGGAGGAAGGUGGGGAUGACGUCAAAUCAUCAUGCCCCCUAUGUCUUGGGCUUCACGCAUGCUACAAUGGCCGGUACAAAGGGCUGCAAUACCGUGAGGUGGAGCGAAUCCCAAAAAGCCGGUCCCAGUUCGGAUUGAGGUCUGCAACUCGACCUCAUGAAGUCGGAGUCGCUAGUAAUCGCAGAUCAGCAACGCUGCGGUGAAUACGUUCCCGGGUCUUGUACACACCGCCCGUCAAGUCAUGAAAGU